UGGGGAAUUUUGGACAAUGGGGGAAACCCUGAUCCAGCCAUCCCGCGUGUGCGAUGAAGGCCUUCGGGUUGUAAAGCACUUUUGGCAGGAAAGAAACGUCAUGGGUUAAUACCCCGUGAAACUGACGGUACCUGCAGAAUAAGCACCGGCUAACUACGUGCCAGCAGCCGCGGUAAUACGUAGGGUGCAAGCGUUAAUCGGAAUUACUGGGCGUAAAGCGUGCGCAGGCGGUUCGGAAAGAAAGAUGUGAAAUCCCAGAGCUUAACUUUGGAACUGCAUUUUUAACUACCGGGCUAGAGUGUGUCAGAGGGAGGUGGAAUUCCGCGUGUAGCAGUGAAAUGCGUAGAUAUGCGGAGGAACACCGAUGGCGAAGGCAGCCUCCUGGGAUAACACUGACGCUCAUGCACGAAAGCGUGGGUAGCAAACA
rnacentral:rRNA from 1 species